rnacentral:rRNA from 1 species
CAGUUCGGAUUGGAGUCUGCAACUCGACUCCAUGAAGCUGGAUUCGCUAGUAAUCGCGCAUCAGCCAUGGCGCGGUGAAUACGUUCCCGGGCCUUGUACACACCGCCCGUCAAGCCAUGGGAGUCGGGAGUGCCUGAAGUUCGUGACCGUCACAGGAGCGACCUAAGGCAAGACCGAUGACUGGGGCUAAGUCGUAACAAGGUAAC